AGAGUUUGAUCAUGGCUCAGAACGAACGCUGGCGGCGUGGAUAGGACAUGCAAGUCGAGCGCUAAUUUCACUGUAGCAAUACAGUGGAGUUGGAGCGGCGCAAGGGUGCGUAACACGUGGGUAAUUUGCCGUAGAGUUGGGGAUAACUCGCUGAAAGGCGAGCUAAUACCGAAUGUGGUUUUUGGAAGGCAUCUUCUGACAACUGAAGCUGGGGACCGCAAGGCCUGGCGCUCUAUGAUAAGCCCGCGGCCUAUCAGCUAGUUGGUGAGGUAACGGCUCACCAAGGCUAAGACGGGUAGCUGGUCUGAGAGGACGACCAGCCACACUGGAACUGAGACACGGUCCAGACACCUACGGGUGGCAGCAGUCGAGAAUUUUUCUCAAUGGGCGCAAGCCUGAAGGAGCGACGCCGCGUGGGGGAUGAAGGGUUUCGAUCCGUAAACCCCUGUCAUUUGUGAACAAUGGUUGCGAUUGAAUAUUUCGUAACUUGAUAGUAAUGAAAGAGGAAGGGACGGCUAACUCUGUGCCAGCAGCCGCGGUAAUACAGAGGUCCCGAGCGUUGUUCGGAUUCACUGGGCGUAAAGGGUGCGUAGGUGGCAUGGCAAGUUUGAUGUGAAAGCUCAGGGCUUAACCCUGAAAUGGCAUUGAAUACUGCUGUGCUGGAGGUUUGGAGGGGGGACUGGAAUUCUUGGUGUAGCAGUGAAAUGCGUAGAUAUCAAGAGGAACACCAGUGGCGAAGGCGAGUCCCUGGACAACACCUGACACUGAGGCACGAAAGCUAGGGGAGCAAACAGGAUUAGAUACCCUAGUAGUCC
rnacentral:rRNA from 1 species